UUGCCUGGGACUUUUUUAUGUUGCCUCAAUCAAUCAAACCUUCCCAGCAAGAAACCAUUACUUAUAGAAAAGGCAACAACAACAAAAAAAGCUGUUCAUAUUCCAAGGGCCAGAUUUCUGUAAGUGCAAAGCAGCCUUAAAGAUGGUUUAAGAAGUCAGCUGGGGUUUGCCUGGUAUUGAAUAGCACAAAGCUGGUGUGGUUUGUCUUCCAGAGCUUGGGCUCAGCCCCAGCUUGGCAAGAAGGUACGGAUCUGCACUGCCCUGGGGAGCUGCACUGCGCCCUGCACUGCAGCAGCUCUGCCUGGAAGCAAAGGGAGGUGGCUGGGCAGAGCAGAGCACAGCAGGGAAACGGCAGCUGAGGAAGAGGAGGUGAAAAGGAGGAGAGGAGCUACGUGUAAUAUAAGGCUGUCGAAAAGAGAACUGUUUCAAAGAGAACUUGCUCGAUUGUGUAGUUGUCAUUGGGAAAAAUGAAGUCAUUAACAAUAUUCAGUCUGCUCUAAUGAAUUAAAAGCACACACAACUAUAUUUACUACUGUAAGAGAACUGUUCUGUCAUGUCCUGAACUGCUGAUUGAGCACCUGGUGAGGAGGUGGCUGGCCUGGGGAACACAGGUGCAGCAAUUCACCUGUGCUCCCAUGUGACGAAGUGGGCCCAGGGUGCAACACUCCCUGGGCUCAUAUAAGGGCUGACCUCUGAACGGAGAACAUCUCCUGGACAAAGGCUGCUUCUAAAGGAGCGUUUUGUGGCCAGAGACUUUCAUCACUAGUUGGACUCUCAUGUGUUUUGUAUAUACUGAGAACGUCAGGGCCUCAAGUGCACCAAUGGGCUUUAAAUGUCUUGAUUGGCCUCACCUGGGAUCUCCACCUACCCUUCUGCUUAUAUAAGCAGGACCCUCAUUAAAGUUCACACCUGGGCCUGAACUGAAAGAGCAGAGUAGGGAGGCGAUAGCAGCAGCACUGCCACUAUCAGGAGAAAGAAAGGGAGCAAGUCUGGUCCUUGGUUUGCCCACUGGGAUGUUGAUAUCCACUGAGCCCCUAAAAAUCAGCUGAUAGCAGUGUGAGUAAGUUCUGGGGUGCCAAAACCUCACUAAGAAGGUCACAUCUGGAAGAACUGACAAGCGAACCCCACAGAAUUCAAGAUUGACCUGUGGUGGACUCCACUGUGUUUACUGCCAAUUUGGGAUGAUGCGUUGCUGUAAAGUGCUACCAAUAAAUGGGAAGUUUGGGCUAGCAGGAAAAGAACAGCAUGAUGCAAAACUAUACUCAGACUGGAGUGCUUACCAGUGUGUUUGCUAGACAGAAGGAGGUUUAUUUCCUUCUCAUAAGAGCUGCUAACUGCACUGCAGUGGUGGAAAUGACUGUGAACUUCAGAAUUCAAGAAGGCUGUUCUAAAAAAUACUGCAAAAAGUGUGAAAAUGCUCUAAAAGUAUAGCUGGUCAUCCUAAGUACAAAUGAGAGAUCUACAAGGUGUUAUUCCACCAGAGGAAGAUCCUGUACUCUGCAGUCCCACUACGGACCUGACUGUGGCAGAGGAGGAGCAGCCAUCUACUUACAGGUCAAUUCUGAAAGGGUACUCUGAAGCGCUGGAACAUUUAACUCACAGUGAAGAAAUACUGCCCAGCUUCUGUUCAACAUCAUCGUCAGCCGCUUGGUUGGGCGAUUCUGGCCAGUGCACAAGGAACUGUAGGAGCCCUUCAGUGAUUACAGGACACCACAGAUGGCAUCUGCAAGGCUGAACCAUGGGGAUGAUGCUGCCGUUUUUGCAGGCAAAAGCUAUAGAAAAGUGAAGCAGGAGUCCCAAGAAAAUGCCUGGACUCAUGAGAGCUAAUCACAGCAGGGUCAUAGGAGGCAGAUACGUUUGCAGGACUGAUGCAGAGCUCCAUUGCUCAAGGUGGAUCCUGAGGAAUAGUUGCUAUUUAUUGCAGCCCAAUGUAUUGGAAUUCAAAACCAAGGAGAUCGAUCAUCCUCGCAUCAGAUCUGAGGUUUGGUACAUAGUAUGCAUUUUUUGCAGUGUGGUGGAACAAAGCAAUUAUUUCACAGCUGAAGGAAAACCAGAAGAUAUUUAAAAAUGGAAAGUUCCCUUCCCAAGCCAUAAUGGAUGACGACGGUAGUAGAAGUAAUAUAUUCAGAGGGACCAAAACAGGAUAACAAUUUUUCAGAAGCUGAAGAAAUAUAUGAGGGAAGAAGAGAGAUUGAUACAGCAGCAUUGGAACCAGCUUUGUCCUUGGAUUGCAAGGGAAUGGAGAAAUGAGGUGUCUUCACAGAUCUUUCUUAUGUGACCAAGUGGCAGAAAAUGCUGCAGAAAUCUACUUCAGACAGUUAAGUAUUCAGGUUACUGAAAGCUGUGUUUACUAUUUUUAUAUCUAUGGUUGUGAGCUAAGUAUUUUUUUUUUUUUUGCCUGUUCACAUCCUUGCUGCCUGCAGAGCUUCCCAGUUGCUAGGCUGUGUUUAAUAUAUUAUUUUCCCAUUGAGACAUCUAUGCUCCCUGUCACAUCUCUGUUGUCUCUUUUCAGUACUGUAUGAGCCCCAUCUCUGGCUUCUCUAAAUGUUAAAGACCUCUCUUCCAGUUAUUUAUACAGUAUUUAAAAUACGUCCCUUAGUAAUCUUGACUUCAUCAGCCUGACCCCUCUGAACCACCAUUCACCCUUGGUUCAUCAAAUCAGGUUCAGCCUUCCUGCCUUUAGCUUAGGACAUUUUAAUUCUUUUUUUCUGCAUAAUGUCUGUUUCUGUCUCCUAUAUUGAGAUUUAUUAAAAUUAUUUAGCCAUUUUAAGAUGAAACCGUAUGUCUAGUUGAGUGUUCAAAAUCAGUGACUACCUAAUUCCCUCUGAGACUAACACUCAUUCAUUCUCCUCAUUAACUUAGCAAGAGGACUUAGAGUCCAGCAUUGCAGAUUGUCUCCAGGCUUUCAUGCCUGAACUUCUCUUUCACUGUUGGGGGCAUAGAUCCUUCCUCUUCUGAGGACAAAGAAAUUUGGUGUCAUCCAGUCUGUGGAGAAAGUUUGCUGCAACUUGGAAUGCUGUUCUACCAAACAAUUCCUUUCUUCCAUCUGCGACACAAUUUUUUAGGGUUUUCCGAUUAAUCCAAAUACUGAAGAUAUUAUAAAGCCACAGAAACUGCUUUAGGCCAAAGAUGGCAAUUACAGCUAAGAGCUAGAGCUAACUGAAAGGCUUCCUAUUUUUUAACAUUUUUCUGUGGCUUUUAAGAUCUUUUUGUGUCACUCUGGAAUGAAAACCAAGUGCACAAAGACUUUUGGCAAAAAUGGGACUUCGCAAAAUGUUCAUCUUUGGCUCCAGAAACUGUUUUUCUUCUACUCUCAUCUUCUAGGAAGCCUAUUGUAGAGCUUAGAAAUAAUCCUGUCAGAACUUCAUCAAAGCCAGUAUUUGUUUUCAAAAUGUUCUAGUUUUGGCAUAAUAUUAGUUGGAGAAGAAAGUAUUUAAUCCAAAAUUUUCUGACUAGUUCCAUAAAUGUCAUUACAUUAAUUAGGUACAUAAGUAACAGUAGCUGAAUUAGCUAUGUUUACGCAUGUCUAGUCAUCUGAAAGAAUAUGAAGUCAGACAGGACUCAAGGGUUGGCUCAGUAAGUGUCAUAAAUUUUAGUAACCCCUGAUCUUGAUGCUCAGUAGAACACAUCUGUGAACAAAACUAAUUGAAACAUCAAGAAAAAGUCAAAACAAAUGAAAAGCAUUAGCAAAAAAAAAAAAAAAAAAAUUAAUUUAGAGUAAUACGUUAGGGUGAGUGGCAAAUUAAAUUGCUAUCCAAGUCCUGACGCAGUUUUUUAUUUGAAACUAUAACGUGAUUAUUGAUCAAAUGAAUUAAUUCUAUUUUGAUGGUAAUAUUAGCUUUUAAGUAACACAUAAACCUAAAAAUAGUUUAAUAAGGCUUCAGGGUCAUCAUCCUCCAAUAUUACUGUAAUCAGGAAUAGUUCCAAUGAAUAUAGUUAUGUUGUAUUCAUGAUACGAUAAAGGCUAUAUAAUUGAAAUCAAAUUUAGAGUUUUUUAAGGUUUUUAUUCAUUAUCUGAUUAGCCUACUACCUCAUAUGAAAGUAGUCAAGUCUUCUGAAUCUUACUCAUGCUGAGUGAAGACAUAUCUGGAUAUCGUGGAUAUUUCUGAGCCAGUUACUAUCGUACUCAUAUACAGUUUCUUCUGUAGUUUCUUUCUGGUUUUGUGUGUGUGCAUGUGCAUUUAUUUCAUAUGACUAAGAACCUCUAUCUAUCUGAAGAGUUGCAGGCUUUGGUUGCUAUUUCUCUACGGAAUGACUGGGAUGGCAUAUGAUGGUGCUUUGCAAAAGGAGCAGAAAUAAGUUAGCCUGAUGAAAUUUGUAGGAGAUGGCAGCAUCUGCUAACUCCAAACUCAGUCCUUGUGUUUGCUUUCGGUUCUUUUGAAACUAGUUUCUUGUGAUGUAUUUUAAAAUACAUAUUGUAGUACAGUUUUUCUCUAAAGCAUGCACUAUCAGAGAAUCACCUCUGAUGUAGAGUUGUCUUUUCAGACUUGCGGAACACAUUUCUUGUUUCUUAGAAUCUUUUAAAAUGUUGGUGUCUAGUACGACCCAAUGCACUGAAAUAUCUUGUAUAUAAUGCUAUUUUCUAAUGAACCGUGAUUCUCUGGUUCUGUCAAGAGUCGUGCUCAUAUUAGUAAAGGCUAAAUAGAGUACCAUUAUGUAUCUAGCAGAGAUAGUCCUUAACAGACUUGUCAAGUCUUAAGCAGUGUGCAUAAAAGAUGAAGCAUCUUGUUACAUCUGAUACCUCCAACUCAAGUGCUCCUAGGAAGUCACUGCCUUCCUCCCUUCUCCAGGACCAUGCAGGCCAGACAUGGCUUCUCACAUCACUCAUGGAGGGCUGGCUCCUUUGCUGCAGUCAUCUGCCAAACUCUUGUUACACUGAGAACCUCACAUCAGAUUAAAAGUUUCAUAGAGAUAUUCAGACAUCAGUCACUCACACCACAUUUCCUGCCCCCACGGCAAUACAACUGUAACCCCCCAAGAACUCUACAGAAUCUGACUUUGUAUAGAAAUUAAUAUUGAUUAGGUAGCACAACUGAAAAAACUUUCUAAAGUGUGCAGUAACAUAUAAAUUAGAAUUCUGUCCCUCCACCAUGUUCUGAACUAACCAUGUUCUGUUGAGAGUGAAGCCUGAAUGGAAUUAGCACUCACAACACUAUGCAGAGCAUAGUUUCAGAUUAAUUUAUAUGAUAUGAUGAUGAAAAUAAAGAAGACACCGACCAAAGUCUUCAGAAAUCCUAUGUUGAAAUAAGGAAAUACCUUUCCAUUUUAAUAAUUGUUGAUAUGGUCAGUGUCAGCUUUUUUAUACAGUAAAGGUAUGAAAGUCUGUGUUGUGUGAUUAGACAUUAAGCACAUUCAUUGAGGGACGAUUUCAUGGAGUCCCUGAUAUCAGUGGAGCAGUGGCAGCUGUUGGGCUUAACUUUGCCCAGGUUUAAGUACUUUUUAAAUUUGAAUAUGUUGGAGUCUAAAGUAGGAAUGAUCAUUCUUACUUUUCUUAUUCAUUCCAUUUUAUAGGGGCUUAAGAAACUAGGGGAAUCAGGCCCUUUGUGUAAUACAUAUCGUCUUACAUGAUUUCCAAUGAAGGAUAUUUUCAAGUAGGAGCUUAAGCUUAAAAAAAAAAAAAAAAAGAUUAACUUAAUUACUCUUGAGAUAUGGUAGAAUUCCAGUUGGCCACCUGAAUAAACAUACAAUUUUAUCAUUUUUUUCAGUGUUUCUGUGCUGCAGGAGUACAAAAGUACAGAUGCAUCUCAUGAGUAUAUAAUAAAGAGAAAAUAAGCUACCAUACCCUUUUCAAAAGAACUAAUCAAGUACUAAAAGGAAAAUUAAUGCAAAUAAAAUAUUGAUUAAGAACUAAAAGGAUUUUAAUUAUAUUACUUUCAGAAAUAAUUUAAUUUAACCCAAACAGACAACUAAGAGCAGAUAUUUUGCCUUAGCAUUUUUCAGAUUGCUAAUUAAAAUUUCUAGGAGGAAAUUCAAGUUUAGUGACUGGAUUUUAAAGAUAAAUAAUGCUUGCUUCUUUUCAUAAUAGUUUUAUAAAGGUUUACAUAGUGCCAAAAUAUAAUACUGCAUGCACAUUUUUUUAAAAACAAUCAGAUAACCUGGAUGCUCCAUACAACCACUGGGGGUAUCGAGCACUCUCACAUUAAGAAAACUUGAAAAUUAAGUGUGUUAAGGUUAAAUAUCUGUCAUAUGUUUGUUAUGUAGAUUUAUAUCUACAUUGUUUAUGAAAUUCUUUGGAGAUAAUUGCUUUUUGGUAAGAUAAAGGCAAUUAUAGUGAUAGAGCACUCUUUGUGCUUCCAUUGCCACUGAGUAGCAAUUUUACUAUUUAUCUGAAAAGAGAUGUAUCUGAUUCUUUAUUCUCUGCCAUAAUGACUUGAUCCAAAAUCCAGUGAAGUAAAUGGAAAUUGCUCAUCACUCUAUAAUUUUGUAUAGCAUUUGGCUUUCAAUGCCACUGCCUACUUUACAUUGUAUUAUUUAUAAGACUGCUGAUCGCUUACAUAUACACCACGAAAUGGAAUGGGAAUGCAGUAAUACAGAGGCACAACAUUUGGAAGCUUUCUACAAAGAAUCUUUUACAACUACAAAUUCUUCACAGAGCAUUAAGGCAAACUGCUCAGAAUUUAAUUAAGCUCCUUUCAUCUUCUUUAGAUGCAGAGUGCUAAAUUAAAGAGAAAAAGAUGAUACUGAGCUACCUGUCCAAACACUUUAGGCAAAAAAAGGUAUAAUUAACAGUCCUUAACAUUAGAUUAGGGAGCAGUAUCAGAAAAUCCCCUUUAUGCCAAGACAGAGGGCUAGAACAUGCCAUGGGGACAUGACAAGAUUCAGAACCACUCUAAAGAAAAUUGUUACACAGAAGAAUCACGUGUCCCAUUAACCAGUGCUCCCUCUCUUGGGCCACUGUAUGUACACAUCAUAAAGCAUGUGACAUACAACUUCUAUGCAAUUUGAAACAUUUCCUAAAAAUUAUGCAAUGCAUGUCUGCGCUACUAGUCUCACUUUGUUAGUCUGCUCACUAGUCUCACUGGUCUCAAUUUUGAAAUUUUGAUUCAGUUAUAUCCAACUUUUCAACCAACUUGACAAGAGGAUUGAGGGGGUCUCAAAAUAUGAAAAUCAGAAGAGAUAGAAAAUCCCACAGAGCCCCUAAUAAUCUGCAGCACACUUUUGUGAGUUACUAAGUAAUAGGUAAUCUAUAAAACGCAGCAAUGUUGCAACACCAGUCUAUGCAAAGCUUUGGUUUGGUCUCACUUCAUAACACUAGAAACUUGGAAGCACAUAUCUGAGGAAACCAGGCUUCACUACACUGUUGCUUAUGGAAGUAAUUCCUUCUAAGAGAUGAAUAGUAAUUUACACAUUAUUGGAUUAUCUAAUCAACAUAAAAAUGAUUUUACUUGAACACAGGGGAGCUUAAGAGUUUGUCCUCUCCAUAGGCUUUGUCAGAGAUGUAUUAUUGUGCUUGAUGGACUUGAACUGAUAGGGUUGCUUCUCUGUUCCUUUGGCUUAGUCAUGAACAAACAAAAACUAAUUUUGGCCACUCAGCAUUCCGUGAACCAUACAAUCCUCUGCACAUGAUACUUCUGCAAGAGUAAGCUUUAAAAACGAAACUCUUGUUCUCCGUAGGCACUAGAGAUGCAAAUUUGGUGGGACAGAAUCUGAAGGCUAUCUGUCUUCUCAGUUACCCUUUCUGCAACGUAAUAUUUCCUUUGCACUUUGAAGUGGUUGUAUUUAAGCUCAGUUGUGUACGUACAAAAUGAUCUCUGACGAUGAAAGGUAAUAUGAAACGAAAGAAAGACUUUGCAACAUGAAAGGCAUGAAAGAGGAAGAGAAGUAAAGGAGAUGCACUGUUGUUCACCAUUAAUCAUUUCAGCUGGCUACACCUACGUUAAAAAUGCAUGUGCAUGUAUUUACACAACACACAAACAUGCAACGAUGCAAACAGUACACUGCAUGUUUGUUAUGUACAUUGAGUGCAUGUGCGGCUACAACAGAAGUAAAUGAGAAUGAUACUGAAACAUGAGGUGUAAGCUAAAGGGAACGUUUGAACGGCUGGAUGUUCAGCGAUGUAUGGAGCUGACAUUUGCAAAUCUAAGUUAUAUAUUCUGUUUUCAUUUCUCGACCCUGUCAGCUAAGCAAUCCUUCCACCAGACAGAAAGAGGGAAGAAGGGACAUAAUCCUGAGAGAGCCGAAUGAAUAUAUAUGUUUGCAAUUUCCCUUGAAAUCUGCACAGAAAAUAGGAGUCAACCCUAAAUUCAAAUAAAUCACUGCAAAGACUCACUGACAGAUUCUUUCCAUGCACCUAACGCAGCAAUUACAGAGUCUGGUAAAACUGAGACAGAAAUUGAAAACAGGUUAUUCAUAAAGAAACAAGACGAACCUGCCAGAAUCCUGCUGAUCUAUCAAGCUAAAGAAAAUACUGGACAUCAGCUGCCUCUUAUAGAAAUUCUUCUCUAGUCUGUGAUUCCAUGAAACUGCUUCAUCUGCACACUGCUCAACAGAUCGAAGCUCAGCUUCCGUACUUGGAAGCUUCUGAUGCUUUUGACUUAUUUCCUGGAGAAGCAAUAAACUUGGAGAGCCAUGUUCUUGUUCCUAAUUAUAUAAGAAUUUUACUGCAGGAUGUGGCAAGAAUAUUUUCCUUACUGCAGAGGUAGUAUGAAUUUUAUUCAGGAUAUGUGUUACAGCUGCAGUCACCAACAGCAGGAUUUCUGUAUACUUGCUCUCAGUAGAUCACUCAAAAUCUACAGUGGAACAAGAGUUACUUGGCCUCCAACAAACAGCUCUAUUUCACUUUCACUGUUAAUUCUGCAAAAAGAUGAGACUCAGCUGUGUGAUCUAUGCUCGUGGGGAUGCAAAGUUUGGAUGCAAAUUUGACAAAACUGAAGAUGGAUGUCUUCUAUUUACAGAAUUACCAUUCCAAUUAAACAACACUUAUUGCCAUUAGUUUGACAUCAGUUCUCUGAGAUUAAACAGAUUCUUGAUUAGGCACGUCCUGAACAAGUGCAAUGCACUGUGCAAGUGUUUUAAUAUUAUGCACCAGUGGAUAUUUUGAAUUGCUCAAUUAAACAAUUCCUAAAUUUAAAAUUUAAAAAUAAAUAAAUAAAUAAAUAAAAGAAGAGAGAAAACUACCCCACAAUGUACAAAAGAAAAGUUAUUAUAGCAUGAUGGCACUUCCUUUGGAGCAAAUGGCAUUGAAAAGCUUACCAGACUAAGAUGUACACCUAUGCAAGAUUUACAUUAUGCAAAAUAAUAUCCUAACAGUGGCAGUACAGGAAGACAGUAUGAGCAAAUCAGUGCUUAACAAGCUAAUCUAUUAAACAUGUUACUUAUGACUUCCAACAGUUUUCAAGCAUGUAAGAUUUUUUUUUUUAAACCUCUGGACAAGAAUAUCUCCAUCAUUUUAUAACAAUAUUAUGAUAUUAUUAUUAUGUCAGUGUGACGUGUACUCUCCCUCAUUUUCAUAUGCUUUAUUGUAAUAUUUUCUCAUUUUCUCUGACACUGAUUAUUUUAGUUUACAGUCACAGCCAGAGCACUUGUAAAACUAAAAAUAUUUGUUGUUCUUUAUCACAAUACAGAGAUUAAGUGUAUUUGAAUCCAUCUCCUCUGACAAUCAUCAGCUGAGGAAAAUAGAUCAUUUUUACCUGAUGCACUGAUUAUAGACUGGGUUUCAUAAAACAGCAAGGAAUGUAAUGACCUUUCAACCAUUCUUCAUUGCAGAAGAAAUCAUCAAGUUCUUUAGACUCCAGCAGAGCAUUCAUAAAUAGUAAUGCUUAUUUAAGGUAAUUCAAUGUGCAAUAAAAGAGACAUAGAGAAGAAUCCCCAUUAGAUUGAAUAAACAGAAGGGAGUAAACUCA